rnacentral:rRNA from 1 species
UAUCAAUAAGCGGAGGAAAAGAAACCAACAGGGAUUGCCCUAGUAACGGCGAGUGAAGCGGCAACAGCUCAAAUUUGAAAUCUGGCGCAAGCCCGAGUUGUAAUUUGUAGAGGAUGCUUCUGGGUAGCGGCCGGUCUAAGUUCCUUGGAACAGGACGUCACAGAGGGUGAGAAUCCCGUAUGUGAUCGGCCCGCGCCCUCUACGUAGCUCCUUCGACGAGUCGAGUUGUUUGGGAAUGCAGCUCUAAAUGGGAGGUAAAUUUCUUCUAAAGCUAAAUACCGGCCAGAGACCGAUAGCGCACAAGUAGAGUGAUCGAAAGAUGAAAAGCACUUUGGAAAGAGAGUUAAACAGCACGUGAAAUUGUUGAAAGGGAAGCGCUUGCAACCAGACUUGACGGCGGUGUUCCCCCGGGCUUCUGCCCGGGUUAUUCACCGUCUUCAGGCCAUCAUCGUCUGGGGCCGCCGGAGAAACCGUCAGGAAUGUGGCUCCCUCGGGAGUGUUAUAGCCUGUCGACAUGCGGCGUGCCCCGGGCGAGGUCCGCGCUUAGGCAAGGAUGAUGGCGUAAUGGUUGUCAGCGGCCCGUCUUGAAACACGGACCAAGGAGUCUAACAUCUAUGCGAGUGUUCGGGUGUCAAACCCCUACGCGUAAUGAAAGUGAACGGAGGUGGGAGCUUCGGCGCACCAUCGACCGAUCCUGAUGUCCUCGGAUGGAUUUGAGUAAGAGCAUAGCUGUUGGGACCCGAAAGAUGGUGAACUAUGCCUGAAUAGGGUGAAGCCAGAGGAAACUCUGGUGGAGGCUCGCAGCGGUUCUGACGUGCAAAUCGAUCGUCAAAUUUGGGUAUAGGGGCGAAAGACUAAUCGAACCAU